UAUUUAUAAAGAAAAUGGAGAAAAAAUGAACUAUUCUCUCUAUGAUUUACUACUUAAUGUUCUUUCUUUCCUUGAUCUCUCUGUUUUCUUUCUCAGUUAUAUGAUCCCCUAGCAUUAUUGGCGGGUGGAGUGGAAUCACUGUCCAUUAGUUUAUAGAUCUAUGGCCACAACGAACUAUUGUAGUGUCUUAUAUGCAUUGCUAUCAGCUAUUUUAAAAUGCUACUUCUUUUCAUAUAUGUUUAAAAUUAAAUAAUGUUAGACCUUUUUACACAUUUGAAUAAAUUUAUAGAAACACUGACGAUACGUUUUAUUGUUCAAAUGGACUGUGUAUCGAAUGGUCGUGGGUUUGUGAUGGUCGUAAGGAUUGUUCAGAUGGUUCAGACGAGACUAAAGAGUUGUGUGCUCUAUACGAAUAUGGAACCACGGAUUGCGGUAGAGUUGAAUCGUUCGACAUUAGUGGAAAAGAACUUUUUGGAGUGGCACGUUGGAAUGUUGGAAUAUAUCGAUUUGAAAAUUUAAAUUAUAUAUUUUUAUGUCAUGGAUCAAUUAUUGCUCCAAAUGGGCUGAAUUUUUUUUUUCUCCCGAUAUGGUUACUACGAAAAUAUCAGUAACAUAUGGAAAACUCAAAGUUGCUGUGGGAAAAUAUCAUUAUAAUUUUUCAAAAAUUGACAAUGAAUAUACUCAAAUAUUGAAUGUGGAAACAAUAUACAUAAAGGAAAGUUAUAAUGGAAAAGAAGGGUCAUAUGCUGAAGAUAUAGCUGUUAUUGUGUUAGAAAAUAAAGUUUUGAUUACCAGUGAUGUUUCACCUGUAUGUAUCGAUUGGAAUGGUAAAUAUAUGGUACACAAUGGAGAUCUAGGAAAGAUUUUCAUUUUUGGAGAAGUGGUAAAUGGGAUAGAAAAUUCUGUUUUAUCAGAAAGAUUUCUUCAACUCAUCGAUACCAGAAAUUGUCAAAAAAAUGUUUCAACCGAAAAUAAACACUUACUGACUUUUGAUAAGUUUUGUACGACUUAUAAUUCAAGAAAAGGAGCAGAUUUCGCAGAUAGUGGAGCAGGCAUAAGCUUUUUACACUCUAAUUCUUAUUUUUUAACCGGGAUGCUGAAUAUGAGGAUUGCAUAUCCAAACAGUGCAAUCGCAGGUUUUUUAGACAUCAGAUUCUAUGUUCAAUGGAUUCGUGGAAUUUUAAACAAACAUUUCACAGAGAAUUCAUGCGUUUUACCAACUGUCGAAGGAGUUAUAUAUUCUUAUGAAGGUUCUAAUGAGAUUUUAUCUCAUGGGACAUUAAUUAAACGUCAUCGUACUGUUAUUGAAAAGUGUGAACAUGGAUAUCAUAAGGCUUAUCCCGUAGGUUUUAGAUUUUGUCGAGGAAAAGGAAAAUGGUUAUCGAAUACUGAGAAAUUGUGUUUCAAAAUGUGUCCAUCUCUAAUAUCAGAUAGUUUAGAUAUUAAAUGUAGUCAUAAUGGUAAGUAUGCUAAUUGUUCAAAUUUAUCGAUACCUGAUACAAUAGCAAAAACAUCAUGUAAGCCAUUCUAUACUGCACCAAUUUCACAAGAAGAUACUCCGCUUGAAUUAAAUUGUCAGGCUAAUGGGAUGUGGAACAAGCAACUGUAUAGAUGCAAUCCAAAUUGCGGUAGAGUAUAUAUCAUAAACCAAGUGUUGAUCAAGAAUGGUAAAAAAGCACUUGUUGGUACGGCACCUUGGAAUGUUGGAAUAUAUCAAUUAAAUAAAAAAAAAACCAAUUAUGACUUGAUAUGUGGAGGAUCAAUUAUUGCACCAAAUUUGGUCAUUUCUGCGGCUCAUUGUUUUUGGAAAAAAGCUAUGUUAUCUAAGAAAAUAUCAAUAACGGGUGGUCUAUACAAAGUUGCUGUUGGAAAAUAUGAUAGAAAUUUUACAAUAAUAGACAAUGAAUUUACUCAAAUAAUAAAUGUGGAAACGAUUCACCUGAAAGAAGUUUAUUAUGGAGCUAAUGGGUUUUAUGCUGAAGAUAUAUCUAUUAUUGUGUUACAAGAUCGAGUUUCUUUUAGUAAUGGUGUUUCACCUGUUUGUAUCGAUUGGAAUGAUUGUUGGUUGGGGAAGAACAGAAAAAGAAAUUUCAAGUCCUAUUUUAUUAGAAGCAUCUUUACCAUACAUCGACCUUAGUACUUGCCGGAAUAUGUAUACAAAUGGAUUUGAAUUAUUUAUGACUGUUGAUAAGUUUUGUGCCGGUUCUACAUUGGUUUCAGGACAAGGAGUGAGUAAGGGAGAUAGCGGUGCAGGAUUAUGCUUUCUCCACUCUGAUUCUUAUUAUUUAACUGGAGUAGUAAGUAUCAAGGAUCCAAAUACAACUAAUUCGAUCGCAGUUUU
rnacentral:misc_RNA from 1 species